rnacentral:rRNA from 1 species
UACGUAGGUGGCAAGCGUUGUCCGGAAUUAUUGGGCGUAAAGCGCGCGCAGGCGGUCCUUUAAGUCUGAUGUGAAAGCCCACGGCUCAACCGUGGAGGGUCAUUGGAAACUGGGGGACUUGAGUACAGAAGAGAAGAGUGGAAUUCCACGUGUAGCGGUGAAAUGCGUAGAGAUGUGGAGUAACACCAGUGGCGAAGGCGACUCUUUGGUCUGUAACUGACGCUGAGGUGCGAAAGCGUGGGGAGCAAACAGG